GCCCAAAGUCGCACGUGCCUGUGGGUGUCCGCUGGUUCUCAAAUGGUGGGAUUAACCGGUACGGUACCUGGAACUAACCGCUCCAGUCAUUCUUAUGACCAAUCAAAAGAAUGAGGACAUCUUGAAGCAACGACGGUGCGGGCCUUU
rnacentral:sRNA from 1 species